GCAAACUUGGUCAUUUAGAGGAAGUAAAAGUCGUAACAAGGUCUCCGUAGGUGAACCUGCGGAAGGAUCAUUAUCGUAUUACAAUCGGGGAGGCUCGGGGCGGCCCUGCACCGGCGGAAACGCCGUGCUGCGGGCUCCCGGCCGACCCUUCCAAACCAAACCCCUGUGCACCUCUGGGAAGGCGUCCCGCUUGGGACGUCGGCCCCUUUUCUCACAAGCUCUUUGUAUCUUGUUCAGAAUGACCGCGGACAUCGUCCGUCUAAAACAAAUAACAACUUUCAACAACGGAUCUCUUGGCUCUCGCAUCGAUGAAGAACGCAGC
rnacentral:misc_RNA from 1 species